GCGAACGCUGGCGGCAGGCCUAACACAUGCAAGUCGAACGAACCUUUCGGGGUUAGUGGCGGACGGGUGAGUAACACGUGGGAACGUGCCUUUAGGUUCGGAAUAACUCAGGGAAACUUGUGCUAAUACCGAAUGUGCCCUUCGGGGGAAAGAUUAAUCGCCUUUAGAGCGGCCCGGGUCUGAUUAGCUAGUUGGUUGAGGUAAUGGCUCACCAAGGCGACGAUCAGUAGCUGGUCUGAGAGGAUGAUCAGCCACAUUGGGACUGAGACACGGCCCAAACUCCUACGGGAGGCAGCAGUGGGGAAUCUUGCGCAAUGGGCGAAAGCCUGACGCAGCCAUGCCGCGUGAAUGAUGAAGGUCUUAGGAUUGUAAAAUUCUUUCACCGGGGACGAUAAUGACGGUACCCGGAGAAGAAGCCCCGGCUAACUUCGUG
rnacentral:rRNA from 1 species